UUGUAUCCAUAGUAAUUUCUACAAUUUCCGCUGUACAGCGGUCGUAGACUCGUAGACUCGUAGACUCGUAGUAUCACAGGAUGUCUUAGUUAUGGCCAUGGAAGCUGAAUCCUUGCUGACCAACUCAUCACAAGGAAACCAAUAUUUCCAGAAAAGAUCUAAAUUCGCCGUAAAAAGGAUACUUCAAGAACUUCUUGUGCAGUGGAAAAUUAAUAAGUGAAAAAUUUUAAUAAAGUGUACGGAGGCCUCCUCACUUCAAUACACCAGGUAUUUACGAAACAACCAAUAUUAAUUUAUGGAAAAUUCACAGGCAACUACUUCGCAAAAAUAAAUGGGACAGGAUAAUAAAUAAAUUUGUAAUUACUUGA